UUUUUGUUUAUAAUUUAAAGUAAAGCCUGCCCMCUGAUUUUUUAAAGGGCCGCAGUAUUUUGACUGUGCAAAGGUAGCAUAAUCAAUAGUUUUUUAAUUGAAAGCUUGUAUGAAUGGUUUAAUGAGAAAAUAACUGUCUCUGUUUAAAUUAAUGAAUUUUAUUUUUAAGUUCAAAAGCUUAAAUUUUUUAAAAAGACGAGAAGACCCUAUAGAGUUUAAUUUAAAUUAACUUUUUAAAUUUAAGAAUUAAUUUUUUUUAAAUUUAGUUUGAAUUUGAUUGGGGUGAUUUUAAAAUUAAAUAAACUUUUAAUUUAUAAAAACAAAAAUUAUUGAUUUUUUGAUCCAUAAAAAUGAUUAUAAGAUUAAGUUACCUUAGGGAUAACAGCGUAAUUUUUUUGAGAAGUACAAAUUUUAAAAAAAGAUUGCGACCUCGAUGUUGGAUUAAAAUUUAUUUUUGGUGUAGAAGCUAAAAAAUUAGGUCUGUUCGACCUUUAAAAUUUUACA
rnacentral:rRNA from 1 species